GUAAAUUAUCAGCGUAUCCUGACCAACUACUUAUUUCAAUUAUACACUACAAUAUGCUUUGGUAAAUGUUGAUUAACAAUGGACAAAAAGGGACCGAAAAGAACGGAGCAAGAUUGAGUAGUUGAUAAUGAUCAACCAACUACUUCAAUGUAACUAAAAAAUAAAAGAAACACGCACAUACAUCAAACAACAGAUUCACCCAUCAUAUGAAAUAUAACAAUAGAAAAGGUGCUACUAUACUUACAACGCCAUCCAAGGAUUCAAUAGCAUUGUUGACCUCUGCGGAAGAGCUGAAGGUUACAAAACCAAAACCUCUUGAUCUGCCACUCUCCCUGUCGUAAAUCACCCUCGCUUCAACGACCUUUCCUUGCUCACUAAACAAACUCUGAAGCGCCAAAUCAUCAACACCCCAUGCAAGGUUACC